rnacentral:tRNA from 1 species
GUUAGAGUAAUGAAAUUGGUAGACAUGAUGGAUUCAAAAUCCAUUACCUUCGCGGGCGUGCCGGUUCGAGUCCGGCCUCUGUACCA